AUGGGAACAGGUCACUGACACCAAAAAGUCCAGCGCUUAAGGGCCCAGCAGCAGGAGAGACUGAAAAUAUAAAUCAGAGCAUAUCCCUGUGGCCCAGCUGGCCUUGUUUCUGCUCAGUACUGGCUCCAACUGUCUCUGCACUAAGCUUCUUCCUGGGUUCUCUUCUGGCUUCCUCUGUCACUCACAGCUCAGUUCAGGUCUCCCUUCUAGUGGACAGGACUGCGCCAGUCACCUAUUGCUUUAAUUCCCUAACGCUCUCCCGUCUCGCCUGGAACCCACAUUUGGUUAUUUUCUGUGCUUUCCACUAGGAUGUGCGUUUCUAAGACUAAAGACCAGGCCUGUGUUCCAGUGCAUUUCUCAAGUCCCAGUGUCUGACACGUGGCAGACACUGAGGGAUGAACAGAACUCUAGGCAUCUGGGAGAGCUGAUGCUACGUGGUUGUGAGUCGGGGCGGGUAGAAGCAAGUGUAGCAAAAGCCCAGCACAGAAUGCCUACCAAGGGCGUACAUUUGUAAUACAGGACACCAGAAUGAUCGGACACUUAGCUAACAGGAGGUGAUAGUGGCGUUCCGUAUGUGUGUGUAUAUGGGGAGGGGGGUGUGAAUUGAGGUCAGAGGAAAAUUUGUGAGAGUCAGUUCUCUCCCUUCACCAUGAGGACUGAACUCUGGCCAGCAG
rnacentral:lncRNA from 1 species